GGUCCGGUGGCUCAAUUGGUAGGGCGUCUUGACUUCGAUUGAGAUUUCAUCAAGAGAAAUCCUCCGAAUUUUCGGAAUUUUAUCAGAAGAUUGCGGGUUCGAGUCCCGUCUGGAUCG
rnacentral:tRNA from 1 species